GUAACGCGUGAGGAACCUGCCUCAAAGAGGGGGACAACAGUUGGAAACGACUGCUAAUACCGCAUAAGCCCACGGCUCGGCAUCGAGCAGAGGGAAAAGGAGCAAUCCGCUUUGAGAUGGCCUCGCGUCCGAUUAGCUAGUUGGUGAGGUAAUGGCCCACCAAGGCGACGAUCGGUAGCCGGACUGAGAGGUUGAACGGCCACAUUGGGACUGAGACACGGCCCAGACUCCUACGGGAGGCAGCAGUGGGGAAUAUUGCACAAUGGGGGAAACCCUGAUGCAGCGACGCCGCGUGGAGGAAGAAGGUCUUCGGAUUGUAAACUCCUGUUGUUGAGGAAGAUAAUGACGGUACUCAACAAGGAAGUGACGGCUAACUACGUGCCAGCAGCCGCGGUAAAACGUAGGUCACAAGCGUUGUCCGGAAUUACUGGGUGUAAAGGGAGCGCAGGCGGGAGAACAAGUUGGAAGUGAAAUCCAUGGGCCCAACCCAUGAACUGCUUUCAAAACUGUUUUUCUUGAGUAGUGCAGAGGUAGGCGGAAUUCCCGGUGUAGCGGUGGAUAUGCGUAGAUAUCGGGAGGUACACCAGUGGCGAAGG
rnacentral:rRNA from 1 species